GAGGGUAUAGCUCAGUGGUGGAGCAUCUGCUUAGCAUGCACAAGGUCCUGGGUUCAGUUCCUAGUACUGCCA
rfam:Camelus ferus unplaced genomic scaffold scaffold1815, whole genome shotgun sequence.